UACGUAACUUUCACUACCGCGUACAAAGCAGACGUGAGAAUGCAGCGAUAUUCUUAAACGUUUAAGAACCAUCCAAUCUGCGUCAUAUGUAAGAAAUAAUACGACAGAAGUAAAAAGCAUCUGCGUUCAGAAAACCGAUAUUUUUUACGGAAUAAUUGGAACACGGUCAUUCGACGAACCGAACGUUGGCAGAGAGCUGGGAUUCUUGCUCGUUUGUUCGUUGUUGUAAAUUUAGAUCCACGGUACGCCUGGUUCCACGAACGUAAGCCUUACCAACGACGACAGACGGAAACGAGAAGAAAGGAAAACAGCCUCCAGGCUAGCGAACAUCCUCUGUCGCACACGCGAUUAGUCGCAAAAGAUGAAUAAUCUCCUGAUAAGCCGAUAAGAAUAAAUAACGGACAUGAGAUUAAGGCUACUACUAUAGAACUAGAUAUAUUCGUGGCGAGAUAUCAAUAGUGACUGACGUCGUGAUAAUGUUUGAUUGAAUUUCCGAAUAGGAAAAAACACAUUUUCUCUUCCGGUAUAAAUUAUCCCCACUUUUGUGUGCUACUAUCAUGGUCCAGAUAAUGAAGAAUCGUGCCAGGAAUUUCAAGGGUUAAUUAAAAGAUAAACGUGGUGCAUGGGAAGAUGGGAUUGGCACGUUUGUUGAGAAAUAGGCCGAAUGAUGGUCCAAAUGUCGUAAGAGAAAUGAUAGACACCGUUUUAGAAAGCAAGAAGGAAGAGCAAGGAGAAGAAAUGGGCUAAAGAAACUGCGGAGAAAACAGGAAAAUUAGACACGUAAUGUCUCAUUUUGCCUUUGUCCAUACGCCAUUUGAGAUAAUCUCUUGUGGAAUUUAAAAUGAAUCGAUGUAAUAUUUACAUCGGGACAUUAUAUACCAAAAUUUGAUGAUAUAUGAAUUUAGUACUUCAAAAAUGAAUUUAUAUACAUCAAGUAAUAGAUAAUAAUUAUGGAACACAUUAUUAUUACCGAGAGUUCUUCCUCAAUUUAAUCGAAGAUACAAUACAAUCAUCAACAUGAUAAGUACAUAGCAAAUUAUUUCAAUUUAUUCCCCAUUCACAAUAAGACAAACAAAGAAUAACUUCAUAAUUCCCAUAGUACAUAUCUCUAUACAAGAUCAUUAAAUUAUCUCCUGCAACAACAAACUUCCUAGAACUCUUCAUUACCUAGCACUAAAUGCGCAUUUGUUUUUAGUAAAUUACAAACGAGAAUUAAUAAACAUUGAAUAUUUCAUUUCCAUAAUUAUCUGUUAGAAUACACAGAUACAUAGAUGUGCAUACAUAAAUACAUACAUACAAAUGUAUAUAUAUCAUUGAAGAAGAAUAUUAAAAUAUAGCGCCUAGAAAAUUUUGUCAGAUCUUGACCUGCGCUUUCUAUAUUUUUCCUAGACCCAAAAUAUCUCUAUACAAUGCCAGGAAGAAAGAAGAAAUGACUUAGUACGAGCGUACCCACCAAAUAGUACGCAUCGCAUUAAUUUAUGCUAUUUUAGGGUUGCUUUUUACUUUCAUAUAGAGUUUAUUUAAUCUACAGCGUGUUUAAAAGUAUAUAAAGAUAUUUAUUAUGCACUGUAGUUUGUUCUGCGUCAUAUAUUUUGUAUUGCACAUUUUAUUUCAUAUAGUACGAUAUUAUUGCUGUGAUAUUGCAUUAUUAAUAAAUUGGUCAGCAUAUUUUCGCAUGUAUUAGAAAUUUAAAUUAAGUACAGGUACAGAGUACGUACAGCAUGCAAAGAUAUACAAAAUAUCAAAAGUGAGGUUACAGUAUUUCAAGGAUAAAAUAAAUCGAUAUUUAAGUCCUA